UGGAAUUCGGCUUAGAGUUUGAUCAUGGCUCAGAUUGAACGCUGGCGGAAUGCCUUACACAUGCAAGUCGAACGGCAGCACGGGAGCAAUCCUGGUGGCGAGUGGCGAACGGGUGAGUAAUACAUCGGAACGUGCCCAAUCGUGGGGGAUAACGCAGCGAAAGCUGUGCUAAUACCGCAUAAGAUCUACGGAUGAAAGCAGGGGAUCGCAAGACCUUGCGCGAAUGGAGCGGCUGAUGGCAGAUUAGGUAGUUGGUGAGGUAAAGGCUCACCAAGCCUUCGAUCUGUAGCUGGUCUGAGAGGACGACCAGCCACACUGGGACUGAGACACGGCCCAGACUCCUACGGGAGGCAGCAGUGGGGAAUUUUGGACAAUGGGCGAAAGCCUGAUCCAGCCAUGCCGCGUGCAGGAUGAAGGCCUUCGGGUUGUAAACUGCUUUUGUACGGAACGAAAAGGUCUUUUCUAAUAAAGAAGGCUCAUGACGGUACCGUAAGAAUAAGCACCGGCUAACUACGUGCCAGCAGCCGCGGUAAUACGUAGGGUGCAAGCGUUAAUCGGAAUUACUGGGCGUAAAGCGUGCGCAGGCGGUUAUAUAAGACAGUUGU
rnacentral:rRNA from 1 species